UCCAUUCACACCGCAGCCUAAGCCCAGUCAGGCAGCGCGCGCGGCUCCGUGGGGGCGCCCUCCCCGCGGGGGUGGGGGGCGGGCCUGAGGGAGCGUACCUCCCAGAGACACCCUCCUCUCCUACCCGCCACGCGCUCUCAGCUGGCCUGCGGGACACAGCCCUCCCCCCCACCUCCCCUUCUCGGCCUUCGCAAGUGUGGGCGCCUCUGCGCACUGGCGAGUCUCUCCAGGUCUCUUUUACACUGGUCAGUUUAGUGAACUCUCUCCAGCUUGGACUGCUGACCUGUGACCUCCCAUUAUUCAAACCAGGCUGACAUAUGUGGGCAUCUGGAGGCCCUCAGCUUCAUUCCCUCACUUCUAAGCAUCACCUCCUGAAAUCAAGAUGCUUCAUGAGUGUGUCAAGGUCAUCACGAUGAGUAUGGAUUAUGGUUCUGGAGAAUUCAACAGAUGGCGAACAGGGUUGGCAAUCAUCUCUUCGGCAAAUAUUUGGUAAUUUGCUGACCCUGUUGUAGAAGGUUCUGACGAUGUUCAAAUGGUUGAAACUCCAUCAGUCUGAGUCCCUGUCUCCUGAAUAUCUUCACUGUGUCCAGAGCAGCCCGGAGACCGCCGUCAAGUUUGCUAGAAAGACUGCACCUUUCUAAGAGCUUUGGAUUCCAGUAUCCCUGCCUGGCCUCCUUCCCCGUCAGCAGCAUCCUGGGCUGGUGUCGAAGUCACUGUCCUGGUUUCCAGUGUUGGAUGGCCAUGUGAUCUACCAAUACCUCUUGAAGUCAUGAACUAAACUCUUAUCACUUUUCAUGGCAGGUGUAAGAAAUGGCGUAAUUAGUGAAGCAGGUAGCGGGAUGCUUUCAUAUUCCUAUCCCUAGUGUAUUUCUAAUGUUCCCACCGCUUUAAGAACUCACUGCAAAUAUUUGGCUUUGGUUACUCUGUACUUCCAAACCCACCAGUUUUUUUGUGGGCUAGGAAUGCCCAUGCUUUUAUUGAUUCUACAUUCUCAAUACAUUAAGAGGCAUUUAAAUAUUCUGAAGCUGAUUGCAUUCUGUUUUGUAUUUUUAAAUUCAUUCUAACUCAGAUAAAGCUAAGUUUGAAUGGUCCUCGCUUGAUAGUGACCAGUGUUCGCUGGCUCCUCCAAAUCAUCAAUCUGUCCCGUGCUAGGCCACCAAGUACCACUGAGUAGCUUCCUCGGGAUACGGACAAGUCUCCUUAAACAGGGUGGCCCACCACAAAUUGAAUGCACCCUCAGUGAGGUCUUCCACAGACACUCAGCCAAGCUGAACAUUGAUGGUAACCAAUGUUUGAUGGUUGAGGAGAUGACAUUUGAAGACUCAAGGCAAAGGAGUUCUCUGGAGAGGGAACAGCAUGUGCAAAGCUCCUGAGAUGCAAAUAGGCUUGACAUGUACAAGAAACAGAAAAAUACUGGUGAGACUGGUGUAUGGUAACUGAGCAGUCACCUGGAACAAACCAAUCUAAAUAAGUUUUAUUCUUCAUUCCCAAGUCUCUCCUGCACAGUUUGGUAUAAAGGACAACACUGGCAAGGCUGAAACUUUUGCACUUAGGUUGGAGCUCCCCAAGACACAGAUUAGAUCAAAAUCCUAUCUCUGGACUUUUUAGGCUGACUAAUCUUUAACUGGUGGUUGCUUAAAUCAAGUUUCUCUGCCUCUGAUCUAACGUCUUUGCAUUCUAAUCCCCGCUUUCCCUUUUCUACUCUUGACCCCCUUGGCUUCCAACACAGCUGCAAUGUCCACAGUCCAGGAUCCCCUGAGCUGCUGAACGCAUGUCUUCCUGCCCUGUCAGAGCUUCUUCAUUGAUGACCUAGCAAGUCCGCUUCCUGAUCGUUGCCUCUCCCCAUCCCUGAUAGCUGUUCGUUUUCAUUCUUUGUCUCUUUUCCACCUCUGCCUUCUCUCUCUCUAGCUCACACCUCUGGCAGCCCUGCAUCCAUACUCCAUCUGGUCCAGCCUGCUUCUAGGUACUCUAUGUUUUGGUGGAGGCUUUGUGCCUGGAGCUCACUUCUCCACCAGGACCAACCGGAUGGCAACAUUGAAAGGACCACCGUUGGCUUAGAAGCAUUGCUGGCAUCACAAAAGGAAUUUGGGCUGCAACAUCUCAGAAACAACCUGCACAGUAUUUGCCGACAAAUACUAACCCCCUCUAUGGCACAAGUCUCUGUAGCUCAAUCAGUUUCUGCUCCAAACACAGCACCUCCUUAUUUUCCAAACC